rnacentral:rRNA from 1 species
UACGUAGGGCGCAAGCGUUAUCCGGAAUUAUUGGGCGUAAAGAGCUCGUAGGCGGUUUGUCGCGUCUGCCGUGAAAGUCCGGGGCUCAACUCCGGAUCUGCGGUGGGUACGGGCAGACUAGAGUGAUGUAGGGGAGACUGGAAUUCCUGGUGUAGCGGUGAAAUGCGCAGAUAUCAGGAGGAACACCGAUGGCGAAGGCAGGUCUCUGGGCAUUAACUGACGCUGAGGAGCGAAAGUAUGGGGAGCGAACAGG